AGCCAUAUCACAUUGAGACUUCAGUUCCUGUACAAUCACUGAAGUUAAGCAACACUGAGCCUGGUCAGUACCUAGAUAAGUGACUGCUUGGGAAUAUCAGGUGUUGUAA